AGGCAACUAGCAGAGCUCAUAGCUCUUGCUCGUUUGUUUGUUUUUGUUCUAUUGAGUCAGGAAGCUCUACUUUAUUUUGGCACAGUGUUUGGAGAUUUCUUGACCCGUUAAAUGAAUUUGCAGGUAUGAGUCACUGGAACCCAUAAUACAGCAUUGUUAUAUAUUACCGUCCCAGUGUAACGGAACAUGGAUUUUGACAUCUUAUUCGUUUCUUUUUCUUUGAGUCAAAUGAGGAUGAUAUAUAAAAGUAUAGUUAUGGAAUGGACAGCUUGACACAAGAACAAGUAAAUGGCUAGAAAGUAUAUUUAACUUAGACGAAGCAUAUCUAUAAUAUCUCUUGGAUUAGAUAAUAAAGUGUCGUUAGGAUGUGAAUAUUUGGUCACCUUCAUGAUGAACACUCUUA
rnacentral:lncRNA from 1 species